rnacentral:rRNA from 1 species
UUUCCGUAGGUGAACCUGCGGAAGGAUCAUUACCGAAGAUAACGGGGGUCUUGAGACUGCGUCCUUGGUGGCGUGUGCUCGACCCUUUCUUUCAUCCACACACACCCUUGUGCACUGAUGGGGGGACGUCGUUCCCCCCUUUUACACAAACACCGAGUUUUAUAUAUGCAUGUUUUGUUGAUACUACUCUACGGAGUAAAUAUGUAACAACUUUCAACAACGGAUCUCUUGGCUUUCGCAUCGAUGAAGAACGCAGCGAAUGUGCGAAACGUAAUGUGAAUUGCAGAAUUCAGUGAAUCAUCGAAUCUUUGAACGCAUCUUGCGCUCCUUGGUAUUCCGAGGAGCAUGCCUGUUUGAGUGUCGUGUUAAUGCUCAACUUCAAUUCUUUUUGUUUUGAAUUUGGAUUUUGGGUGUUGUUGUGUGUACAGCUCAUCCUAAACGCAUUAGCGAUCUGUCUCUUUUGAUCACACAGCAAUGUGAUAAGAAAAAGCAUUGUUAGGAUCGGGUCAAGGUUGCUUCUAACUGUCGAAAGACAAACCAUGUGUCAAUUUGACCUCAGAUCAGGCAGGACUACCCGCUGAACUUAAGCA